rnacentral:rRNA from 1 species
AACGAACGCUGGCGGCAUGCCUAACACAUGCAAGUCGAGCGAGAUCUUCGGGUCUAGUGGCGCACGGGUGCGUAACGCGUGGGAAUCUGCCCUUUGGUUCGGAAUAACAGUCGGAAACGACUGCUAAUACCGGAUGAUGACGAAAGUCCAAAGAUUUAUCGCCAGAGGAUGAGCCCGCGUAGGAUUAGCUAGUUGGUGUGGUAAAGGCGCACCAAGGCGACGAUCCUUAGCUGGUCCGAGAGGAUGAUCAGCCACACUGGGACUGAGACACGGCCCAGACUCCUACGGGAGGCAGCAGUGGGGAAUAUUGGACAAUGGGCGAAAGCCUGAUCCAGCAAUGCCGCGUGAGUGAUGAAGGCCUUAGGGUUGUAAAGCUCUUUUACCCGGGAUGAUAAUGACAGUACCGGGAGAAUAAGCUCCGGCUAACUCCGUGCCAGCCGCCGCCGUAA